GAUCUAUUUUCAUUAUCUUGAGCCUUUUUGGGAAAUAUUUUCCCCGGGCUUUAUUGAAUUGACCGCUGUUUCUGUCAAGGUUGCCGUUCAUUCUGGAUCUUUGCAUCUUAUUUAGGAGUCUUCAGUCUCCAAUGAAGAAUUUCUAAAACUAUCGCAUGGGAGUAUCCCCACCAGAGCCCAAAGCAACCUGCAAACAUUGCAGUGUGAAUAUGAUAGAAAAUGGAAUUUGCUGUGAUUUGAGGAAGAAUUGUAAGCUUGUAUGUAUGUAUAUAUUUAUUUAUUUAGAACACAAAUGGGGGAGGGUCAGAGAGAGGGAGGGAGGGAGGGAGGGAGGGAGGGAGAGAGAGAGAGAGAGAGAGAGAGAAUCCCAAGCAGGCCCUGCACUAUUAGUGGGGGGCCCGAUGUGGGGCUCCAACUGACAAACCAUGAGAUCAUGACCUGAGCCGAAGUUGGACGCUUAACCAACGGAGUCACCCAGGUGCCCCCUCAGCCCAUUUUUUAAUCAGAUUAUUAUUUUUGUUGUUGUUGUUGUUGUUUUUUGGUGUUGAGUUGUAUAAGUUCUUUAUAUAUUUCAGAUAAUAACCCUAAUUGGAUAUAUCAUUUGCAAAUAUCUUUUCUCAUUUAAUCAGGUUGGCUUUGUGUUUUCUUGAUGUCUUUCUUUGCUCUGCAAGCCUUUUUAUUUUGGUAUAGUCUCAGUGGUUUAUUUUUGCUUUUUGUUUCCCUUGCUUGAGGAGACAUAUCUAGAAAACUGUUGCUAAGCCAGAUAUGAAAGAGAUCAUCGCCUAUGUUUUCUUGUAGGAAUUUUAUGGUGUAGGGUCUCAGACUUCGGUCUUUGUAUCCUCUCAUUUCAUUGUCAAAUAACCCGGUGAGGUGGUGUUAUAGGUUAAAUUGUGUCCACCAAAAGAAGAUACGUUAAAGUCUUCACCCCCUAAAUCUCAGAACGUGACCUUAUUUGGAAAUAGGAUCUUCUUGGGUUUAAUUCGGUUAAGAUGAGGUUGUUAGAGCGGCCCCUAAUUCAGCAUGGGGAAAUUUGAACACGGAUACAGAGGGAAGCUGAUGUGAAGACCCCCGAAUCAUAUGUAGACAGAGGAUUGGAGUGAUGCAUCUAUACACAUCUAUGCGGAAUGGUGAAGUUUGCUGGCAAGCUGAAGCUAGGAGGAGACACGGAAGGAUUUCCCUACAGGUUUCAGAGAGAGCAGGGCCUUGUUGAAAUCUUGAUUAUCUAUCUGUCUAUCUGUCUAUCUAUUUAUUUAUUUAUGAGAGAGAGCUCACGUGAGUGAGGGGCAGAGGGAGAGGGGGAGAGAGAACUCCAUGAAGUGCAGAGAGAGAGGGAGGGCGAGAGUGCGGAGCCCAGAGAGGCGCUCAGACUCACCCGAUACGGAGCUCCAACUCAGGAACCUCGAGAUCAUGACCUGUGCCGAAGUCGGAUGCUAAACCGACUGAGCCAAUCAGAUGCUCCAACCUUGACUUUGGAUCUACUAGCCUCUAGAACCAUGACAUAAUAAAUUCCUUUUUCAAGAAACCUAGUUUUUGGCACUUUGAUGUAGUGGCCCUUGGAAACC